rnacentral:rRNA from 1 species
UCGUAGGUGACCUGCGGAAGGAUCAUUAUCGAACAAGAUUGUCGCCAUCUACCCUUUUUCUAUUCCAACCUGUGAACCUGUUGUAGAUCUGUAAGGAUCUAUGUUAAUCAAUAACCUCAAUCCUAUAUCGUAUGUCCAUAUAUAUUUUAAAUACAACUUUCAGCAAUGGAUCUCUUGGUUCUCGCAUCGAUGAAGAACGCAGCGAAUUGCGAUAAGUAAUGUGAAUUGCAGAUUUUCAGUGAAUCAUCGAAUCUUUGAACGCACCUUGCGCCCCUUGGUAUUCCGAGGGGCAUGCCUGUUUGAGUGUCAUUUAAUUAUCAAUCCAUGAUUGGACUUGGGAAUUGCUGGGCUAGUCAGCUGUCCUUAAAUUGAUUAGCAAGUGGAUGAUUAUCUACGUGCACGGCCUAAUAAUCUGGGCUGGAAGUUUACAAACUUGCUUAUAAUUAUUACUUGAGAAACCAAUUUGACCUCAAAUCAGGUAGGACUACCCGCUGAACUUAACGGUAUCAAUAA